AUUGAACGCUGGCGGCAGGCUUAACACAUGCAAGUCGAGCGGAGUUGUGGUGCUUGCACCAUAACUUAGCGGCGGACGGGUGAGUAAUGCUUAGGAAUCUGCCUAUUAGUGGGGGACAACAUCUCGAAAGGGAUGCUAAUACCGCAUACGUCCUACGGGAGAAAGCAGGGGACCUUCGGGCCUUGCGCUAAUAGAUGGGCCUAAGUCGGAUUAGCUAGUUGGUGGGGUAAAGGCCUACCAAGGCGACGAUCUGUAGCGGGUCUGAGAGGAUGAUCCGCCACACUGGGACUGAGACACGGCCCAGACUCCUACGGGAGGCAGCAGUGGGGAAUAUUGGACAAUGGGGGGAACCCUGAUCCAGCCAUGCCGCGUGUGUGAAGAAGGCCUUUUGGUUGUAAAGCACUUUAAGCGAGGAGGAGGCUACUGGUAUUAAUACUACCGGAUAGUGGACGUUACUCGCAGAAUAAGCACCGGCUAACUCUGUGCCAGCCGCCGCUGUAAUAC
rnacentral:rRNA from 1 species